ACAGGGGAAGGCUGUCUGUUCCCUGUAAAGGAGACCGCAGAGUGACUCGGCAUGCCUCUGGUCUUCCCAGAGCAGGAGUCUAUGGGGAUGCGAAGGGCCCAGGCUCACUGACAUCAGGGAAGAGCAGGUGGGGUCCCCAUUCCAUGGACGUAUGUGAAGACACACUGUGUGCAGACCUUUCCCAGGGCUCAGCUGUGAUCGUCAGUAGCCAGAGCAGAUGCAACCCCUGCCCUCUGGGGCUUCAGUGCUGUUUGGGGUCCUCAGUCUCCCUGGACAGCUGAGCAAGCAUUCCUUGAACUGCAGUAGAUGGCACUUUCCCAGGCUCCCUAGAUGUGGAUCCACAGCAGUGCAAGAGGAGCCCAGGAGCGGCAUAGACACCGGGCAGCACAGCGCUGCAGAGCUAAAGCCUGAAGAAAGGGGGGCGGGACAGAUGCCCACUGUCCCCCACGUCUCAGAUCGUUACAGAGCAGUGGCCCUGUGCCCUUGAGUGUAACACGCAGCAGACACCAGACUCUGUCCUCAUGCAGCUGACGGUGGGGACGGGUGGGCAGAUGGUCCUCCUUUUUUGUCCACCAUUCCCGGUGGAGCUGCACUCCCAGGAGACUCCACCAGCUGAACUCCUGUCCCAGCUGGAGCAAGCUGAGCCCACUGAGGCACAGCCCACGGGACCAGCUCCAGCCCCAGGUGAAGUCCCACGUGUGGAGCCUGAGCCAGCUCCACCUGCAGAGCUUCCUGCCCAGCGCUGGGACCACAGCCAGAGUCCAUGGAAGCCCCUUCACCUGCUGCAGUGCUGGGUCACCCGGUGGCUGCACGGCGGUCAGUGUCACCUCCUGAGCCCUGCCUGGGGCCAGCUCCUGGCCCCCUCCCACUGUUCCCC
rnacentral:lncRNA from 1 species